CUUAGCAUAUCAAUAAGCGGAGGAAAAGAAACUAACAGGAUUCCCCUAGUAACUGCGAGUGAAGCGGGAAAAGCUCAAAUUUAAAAUCUGGUGGUCUUUGGCCAUCCGAGUUGUAAUUUAGAGAAGCGUCUUCCGCGCUGGACCGUGCACAAGUCUCCUGGAAUGGAGCGUCGUAGAGGGUGAGAAUCCCGUCUUUGGCACGGACGCACCAGGGCUUCUGUGAUGCGCUCUCGAAGAGUCGAGUUGUUUGGGAAUGCAGCUCAAAAUGGGUGGUGAACUCCAUCUAAAGCUAAAUAUUGGCGAGAGACCGAUAGCGAACAAGUACCGUGAGGGAAAGAUGAAAAGCACUUUGGAAAGAGAGUGAAACAGUACGUGAAAUUGUUGAAAGGGAAACGCUUGAAGUCAGUCGCGUCGCCCGAGACUCAGCCUCGCCUCGGCUUGGUGUACUUCUCGGCCGACGGGUCAGCAUCAAUUUCGCCCCUUGGAUAAUGGCGAGGGAAAUGUGGCACCUUCACGGGUGUGUUAUAGUCUCUCGUCGCAUGCAAGGGUCGGGAUUGAGGAACUCAGCACGCGCCUUUCGGCGUCGGGGUUCGCCCACGAUACGUGCUUAGGAUGUUGGCGUAAUGGCUUUAAACGACCCGUCUUGAAACACGGACCAAGGAGUCUAACAUGCCCGCGAGUGUUCGGGUGGAAAACCCGUGCGCGCAAUGAAAGUGAAAGUUGGGACCUCUGUCGUGGAGGGCACCAACGCCCGGACCAGACCUUCUGUGACGGAUCUGCGGUAGAGCGUGUAUGUUAGGACCCGAAAGAUGGUGAACUAUGCCUGAAUAGGGUGAAGCCAGAGGAAACUCUGGUGGAGGCUCGUAGCGAUUCUGACGUGCAAAUCGAUCGUCAAAUUUGGGUAUAGGGGCGAAAGACUAAUCGAACCAUCUAGUASCUGGGUUCUGCCGAGUUCC
rnacentral:rRNA from 1 species